GAUGAACGCUGGCGGCGUGCUUAACACAUGCAAGUCGAACGAAGCACUUAUGACAGAUUCUUCGGAUGAUGGAUUAAGUGACUGAGUGGCGGACGGGUGAGUAACGCGUGGGUAACCUGCCUCAUACAGGGGGAUAACAGUUAGAAAUGACUGCUAAUACCGCAUAAGCGCACAGUACCGCAUGGUACGGUGUGAAAAACUCCGGUGGUAUGAGAUGGACCCGCGUCUGAUUAGCUAGUUGGUGGGUAACGGCUACCAAGGCGACGAUCAGUAGCCGACCUGAGAGGGUGACCGGCACAUUGGGACUGAGACACGGCCCAAACUCCUACGGGAGGCAGCAGUGGGGAAUAGUUGCACAAUGGGCGAAAGCCUGAUGCAGCGACGCCGCGUGAGCGAUGAAGUAUUUCGGUAUGUAAAGCUCUAUCAGCAGGGAGAAAAUGACGGUACCUGACUAAGAAGCACCGGCUAAA
rnacentral:rRNA from 1 species